rnacentral:tRNA from 1 species
GGUGAUGUAGCUCAAACGGUAGAGCGAGGUACGGGGUUCGAUACCCCUCAUCUCCA